rnacentral:rRNA from 1 species
GAGUUUGAUCCUGGCUCAGGACGAACGCUGGCGGCAGGCUUAACACAUGCAAGUCGAACGCUCUCUUCGGAGAGAGUGGCAGACGGGUGAGUAACGCGUGGGAAUCUACCUAGUACUAAGGAACAACAGUUAGAAAUGACUGCUAAUACCUUAUACGCCCUCCGGGGGAAAGAUUUAUCGGUAUUAGAUGAGCCCGCGUUUGAUUAGCUAGUUGGUGAGGUAAUGGCUCACCAAGGCGACGAUCAAUAGCUGGUCUGAGAGGAUGAUCAGCCACACUGGGACUGAGACACGGCCCAGACUCCUACGGGAGGCAGCAGUGGGGAAUAUUGGACAAUGGGCGAAAGCCUGAUCCAGCCAUGCCGCGUGUGUGAUGAAGGCCUUAGGGUUGUAAAGCACUUUCAACGGUGAAGAUAAUGACGGUAACCGUAGAAGAAGCUCCGGCUAACUUCGUGCCAGCAGCCGCGGUAAUA